AGUGCGUGUUUGUGUUUGUGUGUGUGUGUGUGUGUGUGUGUGUGUGUGUGAUCGUAUUAAUGAUUAAUUUUACUGAGUGAAACCAAGCCAUAAUGUUGAGCCAAUUAAGAAAACUGCAGUUUUUACAGUAUAUCAUGUCAGGGUAGCAAAGACCCAUGGGAUGACUUAGUGUACUCUAGACUACUGAGAGGAGCCACAAGAAGGACUUUGGUGAAAGUUUUCGUGUUGUGUGGAAAGCAAGAGAAGGCAGGAGACUGGAAUAGUGAAGAGAAGGGAAGGGAAAGAGGAGUUGUCAAAAGUAAAAAUGUCUGGCUGGGCCAGAGGAGCAGAGCGGAGACAGGAAAAGUCUGACCUGAGGGUGUGUAGGAAGUUGUAGAAGGCCAGAGGGAGCGUGAACUGUAUUUGCUUUGGUUUCUCAUACCUGCAAAUACUGAAUUUGAAAAGAAACCAUAAAAUGUGUUAGAAAUUUGACUAUGUUAGGUUAAUUCUGGUUGGAUUUCUUCAUUUAAAAAAGAAGCUGGUGAUUCUUGACUGCAAAAUGUUUGUGUUAGAAAUGUGGUCAUGCUCUUGAGGGAGGAAGACUGAGAUCCCAUGUAAACCCAGAUUUAAACUGGCAAUCAGUUCAAGUCAUUGUUAACCAUUAUGUGAAAUAUAUCUCCAGUGGAAAUGAAAAUUGGAAAAGGCUGUAAAUAGAACGAUCAAAUGAUUUCUUUGUAUAAAUGAAUUAUACAAUUAAAAAAAGCACAUACAUAAUAA